UACGUAGGGGGCUAGCGUUGUCCGGAUUUAUUGGGCGUAAAGAGCGUGUAGGCGGCCAAGUAGGUCCGGUGUGAAAACUCGAGGCUUAACCUCGAGAUGUCAUCGGAAACCAUUUGGCUAGAGUCCGGAAGAGGAAAGUGGAAUUCCAGGUGUAGCGGUGAAAUGCGUAGAUAUCUGGAGGAAUACCGGUGGCGAAGGCGGCAUCCUGGACCGAUAUUGACACUGAGGAGCGAAAGCCAGGGGAGCAAACGGG
rnacentral:rRNA from 1 species